CCCUGGCUCAGGACGAACGCUGGCGGCGUGCUUAACACAUGCAAGUCGAGCGGUAAGGCCCUUCGGGGUACACGAGCGGCGAACGGGUGAGUAACACGUGGGUGAUCUGCCCUGCACUUCGGGAUAAGCCUGGGAAACUGGGUCUAAUACCGGAUAUGACCAAAGGCUGCAUGGCUUUUGGUGGAAAGGUUUACUGGUGCAGGAUGGGCCCGCGGCCUAUCAGCUUGUUGGUGGGGUAAUGGCCUACCAAGGCGACGACGGGUAGCCGACCUGAGAGGGUGACCGGCCACACUGGGACUGAGACACGGCCCAGACUCCUACGGGAGGCAGCAGUGGGGAAUAUUGCACAAUGGGCGAAAGCCUGAUGCAGCGACGCCGCGUGAGGGAUGAAGGCCUUCGGGUUGUAAACCUCUUUCAGCAGGGACGAAGCGAAAGUGACGGUACCUGCAGAAGAAGCACCGGCUAACU
rnacentral:rRNA from 1 species